rnacentral:rRNA from 1 species
CAGUCCCAGUAUUAGUCAAUGCUCGAAAGAGUGAACUAGCUUAACUGAAUCAAUUAUCAAAAUUGAUAACAUAAGGGAAAAUAAUGAUAUUACCUUAUUAUUAGUGUCGUCCAAAUCUGGUGCCAGAAGUACUCGGUAAGGCCAGAGACACAAACGUUAAUCGUCUUAAUCAGGCGUAAAGGGUUUGUAGGCGGCUUUAAAAAUUAUUAAAAUUUAAUUUAUUUUUUAAUAAUUAAAGAAUAAAAGCUAGAAUCAAAAAGAGGAUAUAUUAAAGAAUGCUUAGAGUAGGUCUGAUAUCCCUAAAUACUAAGUAGAAUAUUAAAGGCGAAAGCUUUUUUCCAUUAAUGAUUGACGCUCAGAAACGAAGGUGAGGAUAGGAAAUAGGAUUAGAUACCCAAAAUACCCCUCUCUGUCAACGAUGAAUGGUAAUUAUUAGUAAAAAUUUAUUAAUGAUAAUGUUAACACGAUAACCAUUCCGCCUUGUGAGUACAACUGCAAAGUUGAAAACAAAAAAAUUAGUCGGUUUCGGAGCAAACGAAGUGAAGCAUGUUAUUUAAUGAUAAUUCGCAUGGUAAUCGAUAUCAGACCUCCGCUAAGAAUUCUUUAAUAUAUCCUCUUUUGAUUCUAGCUUUUAUUCUUUAAUUAUUAAAAAAUAAAUUAAAUUUUAUUAAUUUUUUUAAGCCGGCCUACAAACCCCUUUACGCCUGGAUUUAAGACGACGAACGUUGGUGUCUCAGGGCCUUACCGAGGCUGUCUGGCACCAGAUUUGGACGACACUAAUAAUAGGGAAGUAUCAUUAUUUUCCCUAUGUUAUCAAUUUGAUAAURAUUCAGUAGCAGUUCCUCUUCGAGCAUGAUAAUAUUCUGACUGCUG